CAGUAACACGUGGUCAAGCUACCCUGUGGACGGGAAUACUCUCGGGAAACUGAGGCUAAUCCCCGAUAACGCUUUGCUCCUGGAAGGGGCAAAGCCGGAAACGCUCCGGCGCCACAGGAUGCGGCUGCGGUCGAUUAGGUAGACGGUGGGGUAACGGCCCACCGUGCCCAUAAUCGGUACGGGUUGUAAGAGCAAGAGCCCGGAGACGGAAUCUGAGACAAGAUUCCGGGCCCUACGGGGCGCAGCAGGCGCGAAACCUUUACACUGUACGAAAGUGCGAUAAGGGGGCUCCGAGUGUGAAGGCAUAGUAGCCUUCACUUUUGUACACCGUAAGGUGGUGCACGAAUAAGGACUGGGCAAGACCGGUGCCAGCCGCCGCGGUAAUACCGGCAGUCCGAGUGAUGGCCGAUCUUAUUGGGCCUAAAGCGUCCGUAGCUGGCUGAACAAGUCCGUUGGGAAAUCUGUCCGCUUAACGGGCAGGCGUCCAGCGGAAACUGUUCAGCUUGGGACCGGAAGACCUGAGGGGUACGUCUGGGGUAGGAGUGAAAUCCUGUAAUCCUGGACGGACCGCCGGUGGCGAAAGCGCCUCAGGAGAACGGAUCCGACAGUGAGGGACGAAAGCUAGGGUCUCGAACCGGAUUAGAUACCCGGGUAGUCCUAGCUGUAAACGAUGUCCGCUAGGUGUGGCGCAGGCUACGAGCCUGCGCUGUGCCGUAGGAAGCCGAGAAGCGGACCGCCUGGGAAGUACGUCUGC
rnacentral:rRNA from 1 species